GACCAGGUUUCGUCAGACGGUCCUCCUGAUCUCCUGCAGAGCCUUCUGCCACUAGACGAGAAAGAGAAGGAAGAAAGAGAAUACAAAAAGGAAAAGAAAGAGGGAACAGUAAAUGUCCAAAAUGCAUCUUCAUGUACGGACGAGGCCCCGGAGGGCCAAGGCUCUCUGUCUGAGGGACCAUUUAGAGCUGCGGGUGUUGACUACAAACAAAGAUCAAAUGCAAGAGACCCAAAACUGCACGAUCAUUCUUCUCCAAACACCUUACAUGAUGACAAUAUUUCCUCAUUUCAUUUUAAACACAGGAGAUUCAUGAUCUAUCUAUGUGGUGGAUAUAAAGGUAAGGUGGAUAUAGAUUCUCUCAACAGCACAUAUACUUUACUAGAUCCUAGUUCCUGUGAUGGCAAAGCUGAAUUUUCAGUCUUUAGUGUCACAUCAUCUAGAUAAUUCAUUUCUGUCAUAUAUAAAAUUUUGAUUAAGCUAUACAUGACAUUUGUUGUGUGUGUAGAUACCGUCCCAGAGCGCAGUGCACUGAUGGAGAGUGUGUAUCCGCGUCUGUAUCUGCACUGUAAGCAGAGAGGAUAUGAUUUCAGGAUGAUAGACCUGCGUUCAGGAGCCGGAGAUCCUGUUUCGGACAAUCACGAUUUGGCAGAGAUGCACAUGGAGACACUUAGACGUUGUCAGGAGACUGAGGGGCCAACUUUUAUUGUAGGUUUUGUUGCACACAGAUCAUUCACCUUCCAAGAGAGUCUCAUGGGGGGGAAAUUGUAGUAUUUUUUAUCAAUAUUUAAGCCAUAGACUUUUUCCCUUUCUUGUAGGUGUUCACUGGACAGAAGCAUGAGAUACGGUCACUGCCGAAUACGAUUCCUCUAGCAGAUUUCGAAGCUAUUUUAAAAUUUGUGGAGAGGAGCAAGAAGAAGCUGUCUAGGAGGCAGUCAGACAUGGCAGACGAGUCACAGCUCAGUAUCGACACCGGUGACAGUGGGAGUUUCACCCUGGAGAAGGAACCCCGUUUGUUAGAGAAGGAGCCUUCGCAGAGUUCUGCCGUCAUGAGCGAGAACUCCAUCUCCAGCAGUUCCACGUCAGAUGGAGACGAGAUACAGCUGGCCAGGAGCUGGAUGGACUAUGACCAGGAUUUGACUCUCUUGCAGACAUGGUAUAAGCUGGAUAAAAACACAGUUCCUGCCGUGUACCGCUUACUUCCUGUCAGCACACAUCAUCCUGACUACCUCAGUCGGGAUGGUCAUCGCAGGAAGCUGGGAAGGAAGGCGUGGCGCACUUCCUGUGUGAAGCUGUGGAACGUGCUGUGGCGAUCUGGACCUGAGGCCAUUGGAGAAGAAGCCACCUGCCAUCUGCUUAAAACAGGCAUUGGUUUUGCUGUCAUAAGGAAGUUUUGUGUCAAUCACAGAUGUAGAAUAUAUGUGCACUUGACUUACUUGAAUGUAAAGAAGCCUAGAUGAAUCACAAAGCCACAUGUUGUGCAUGUUUCAGUGUUGGACUGGGAAGUGGAACAGGGUCUUGGAGGAAAGCAGCCUCCGGAGGAGUUCAGUCACUGCUAUAAGAGGAUCAUCACUGACCUUCUGUACAAUCUGAAAAAUGAAUAUGCACCACAGUUUAUAGACCUGCACAAAGGAAGAUCUGAAAUCAAUCAAACCUUGCAUCAAGCUCAGCAGCGCUUUAUACGCAACAUUCACCUCAAGGUUGGUAUCUCUCUAUCUAGAUAUCUCUAGCUAGCCACGGUGCUGUUCAUAUAUCUGGGGCCAAUAAGAUUUCUUAAAAUAAAUGAAUAGAUCUAGAUGAAUUAAAUUCA
ensembl:lncRNA